UCCGAAGGGGGCUAGCGUUGCUCGGAAUUACUGGGCGUAAAGGGCUCGUAGGCGGCCAACUAAGUCGGAUGUGAAAUCCCCAGGCUCAACUUGGGAACUGCAUCCGAUACUGGAUGGCUUGAAUUCGGGAGAGGGAUGCAGAAUUCCAGGUGUAGCGGUGAAAUGCGUAGAUAUCUGGAGGAACACCGGUGGCGAAGGCGGCAUCCUGGACCGACACUGACGCUGAUGAGCGAAAGCCAGGGGAGCAAACGGG
rnacentral:rRNA from 1 species